UACGUAGGGACCAAGCGUUGUUCGGAUUUACUGGGCGUAAAGGGCGCGUAGGCGGCGCGGUAAGUCACUUGUGAAAUCUCCGGGCUUAACUCGGAAAGGUCAACUGAUACUGUGCGACUAGAGUGCGGAAGGGGCAACUGGAAUUCUCGGUGUAGCGGUGAAAUGCGUAGAUAUCGAGAGGAACACCUGCGGCGAAGGCGGGUUGCUGGGCCGACACUGACGCUGAUGCGCGAAAGCCAGGGGAGCGAACGGG
rnacentral:rRNA from 1 species